GAUCCGCUUAGUCGACCCGGGGAAUUCAGCUCGGCCGUCCGCUGCGCGUCGGGAGCUCGGGACCCCUUCGGGGCCCGCUCUCGGCGUUGCCAGCCGGAUGGCAGAGUGCACUUUCUCCGCCGUCGAAUGCCACGACCGAUUUGGCGGCGGUCACAAGCCCGGCGGCAAGGUAGCCGCGCGCCUCGCGCGCGCGGUGUUAUAGGCCGUCGAGGUGGACACGCUGCCGGAUCGAGGACGUUUGCCGCGUCGCUAGGCCUCGGGCCGUUUCGGAGCUCACGACUACGGACGCACUGCCAGUCAGGGCGCCGUGACCGCGCUUCGUACACGGGUCCGUACGCCGACGACGCCUCGGGUCAAGUGGCGAAUCGGUCGGUCCUCCACCCGACCCGUCUUGAAACACGGACCAAGGAGUCUAACAUGUGCGCGAGUCAUGGGGUCUUACGAAACCCAAAGGCGCAACGAAAGUAAAGGUCUCCUCCGGAGCACCCAGGCGAGAUCCGACGGCCUCGUGUCGACGGCGCAUCGCCGGCCCGUCUCGGCGGCAUUGCCCGCGAGGCGGAGCAAGAGCGCACACGUUGGGACCCGAAAGAUGGUGAACUAUGUCUGAGUAGGGCGAAGUCAGGGGAAACUCUGAUGGAGGCCCGCAGCGAUUCUGACGUGCAAAUCGAUCGUCAAACUUGGAUAUAGGGGCGAAAGACUA
rnacentral:rRNA from 1 species